GGCCGAUUAACUCAAUGGGAGAGUACUCCGCUUACAACGGAGGUACGAAGGUUCAAUUCCUUCAUUGGCCA
rnacentral:tRNA from 1 species